CUAAGUCAAGGACAUAAGCAAGAUAUCUCUGAAGGACUGAAGCAUGAAUGGUGGUGAUUGGGGGCUUUGGAGUCGGCUACUGUAAUUAUGUAUCGUUGCUUCUCUACUAUUGAGAACGCCGUUCAUGAAUCCCGGUUUCCUGCACAGGAAUUUGAACAGGAGUUGUGCCUUGUCAAUUUCUCUUGCCUUCACUCCUUUUGUAUUAGGUGGUGCAUGUAAUUUUGAUGGUCCCUUUUUACAAUAUUUAUUUAUUUAAUUGAUUUUGGGGGUUCUUCAA